UUCUAUACCGCCCCUCCUCCACCGAUGGCCAUCGUAACCGCCGCCGCCGCCCCCCGAUCGCACCGCCGUCCACCGCGCCAGACCGUGCUCCCCAUAUAGAAGUCCCUCAUAUGGCCUACCGGCAUCGCUCCUGGGGAGUACGGCGGACUUCCGACCAGCACCAAGCUCCGCAAGUACUGGGGCGACCGCGGCGACGAGGAUCCCGUCGCCGCCACCAACGACUUCAUCUGGAAGAAGGACUUCCUCAGCCACAUGCAUCGCCUCCUCUGAGAAGACGAGGCCACCUUCAAUUACCCUCCUCCCGAAUCAAGAAGAGAGAGAAAGCGGGGUGGGGGGGGGGGGAUGGGAUCUCAAGGGAAGGAAGCAGUAUUUCAAGUUGAAAUAGAAGCUGCAACUCCUUCCUUCGGGCAUUGGUGGCAUUGAAGUAGGCUCCAGCAUGCAUUUCCUACUCUCCUGAAACUGCACCUAGAUGCAUUUCACUUGAGUAUCCCAAUGAGCGCGUCUAUAUUGUACAUCAUAUCCUUGCAUAAUUUUGUAAAAAUGGAUCAUCAUUUCCCAUUAGUUCUUUUAUUCUAUAUUUCUAAAUAUUUAAGGUAAUUAAGGGAGCCUAAUAUAAAAAUCAUGGGGAGGUCAAGAUUUUUCUUUAAAAAUCAUUUCUUCAUGGCAUUUGAUGCUUUGUUCUUCCUUGAGCUAUGGUGCAGCGCCACUUGGUUCUUUGGUGUGCAUUUCGUACUGCAGGCAAUUGUGUAAAUUCCAUGGCAGCUGGGGCUAAAGGGAUGGUCAAGUGGAGGAUAAUUUGUGUCAUAUUGUAUGAAGCAUUGGUGGAUACUAAUUGUGAUUAUGAAUGAUGGAUGUAAUGAUUCGGUUCCUGCAAAUUGCCUAGUCGCCUCUAAAUGCCGACUCUUGAAAGGUCAUGCAUUUUGUAUGUCUAGUUUGCCUCAAGCCAAACAAGCGAUUGAGUGAUAUCUUUCGCUAUCAAAACACUGAAUAAAUGUCACCAUCACUUAUUUGUUUCUGGAUUUCAUGUUCUUGUAAGAGGAUGUAAGAUUUUUUGUUCUUGUGUUUAUAGCACGCUAUGUUUAGUAUAAAGAAAUUGAAAGAACCAAUGAAAAGCUUCUGUUUGUAAAGCUCAAAGACUCACUGAAGAACAUGUCUUCAAUGCAUGAACCGGUCAAGUCUCUGAAGAAUUAUGGAUCAUGAAAACUUGCACUCA